rnacentral:rRNA from 1 species
GACGAACGCUGGCGGCGUGCUUAACACAUGCAAGUCGAACGGAAAGGCCCUGCUUUUGUGGGGUGCUCGAGUGGCGAACGGGUGAGUAACACGUGAGUAACCUGCCCUUGACUUUGGGAUAACUUCAGGAAACUGGGGCUAAUACCGGAUAGGAGCUCCUGCUACAUGGUGGGGGUUGGAAAGUUUCGGCGGUUGGGGAUGGACUCGCGGCUUAUCAGCUUGUUGGUGGGGUAGUGGCUUACCAAGGCUUUGACGGGUAGCCGGCCUGAGAGGGUGACCGGCCACAUUGGGACUGAGAUACGGCCCAGACUCCUACGGGAGGCAGCAGUGGGGAAAAUUGCACAAUGGGCGGAAGCCUGAUGCAGCAACGCCGCGUGCGGGAUGACGGCCUUCGGGUUGUAAACCGCUUUCGCCUGUGACGAAGCGUGAGUGACGGUAAUGGGUAAAGAAGCACCGGCUAACUACGUG